UGGAAGAUCGUCCCGCAUGUCCUACUUGAAAGUGCUGCAGUAAGGUCAUUAUCUGCCCAUAUUGUUCUUUUGUUAGGUUGACAUUCUGAUUUUCAUCUUGCAGGUCUUGAUCAUCUCCACUCUCAUGAAUUACAUUAGUUGGAGCUCCAUGUACAUUUACUACAGACCCUUUUCCCCUGUUGAACUUAUAGUUUUGGGUGUUACCUUGAUUGUAUGGAUGUGCAUUGGCACGAUUGAGGUUCUGAUUGUUGUAAAAAUUGCCUUGAAGGUAUCCAUGUAACUUGUAGCACUUUUCCCUUGUAUGUCCUGGUAUUUUACAGUAAUCACAGAAUUGACGACUAUUACUAUUAUUAUUGGUUGUAUUAUGUGUCUUGAAGUCCUGGCUCCAAAUAGGCUUUGAUUUUUAUGUUGUGGACUUGCACAUGUAGUGACGUAGAACCUAGAUUCAGCUUAUUAUUAGGCUUGAAUUCCCUUUGUUUCUCUUCUUGUAUCAACAGAGAAAAGGCCUGAGCCAUAGAAGGCAGAUGCUUCAUCAUAAGAAUACUUUCUCGCACUAUUGUGUAGACCUUAUUUGGUCCCGUCAAAAAUUGGAUAAGUCGUUGAUCUUGCUCUGCCUUAUGCAUGGUUUCCUUUGCUCCACAUAUGCAAUUGUAGCUGUACUAAGACUUGACACUCAAAGUGUUUAGUUCCUCCCACAGUCUUUUCAUUCGCGUAAUGUAUGUAGUAAUGUCUAAGGAACCCUGUGCAAGGUCAUUAAUCUCCUUCUAAAUCUGAUACAAUUUUGCUCCAUUUGUUUGGUCAUAACAAUCUUCUAAUUCCCUCCAUAACUCAAUCGAGUCAUUUACAUAUUCCACACUAUCAGAAAUAUCCUUAGUGAGGGAAUUGAGGAUCAUGAGAUCACCAUAUCAUCACACAUCUCCCAUUGGCGGAAUUAAGGUGAAUCGGAGCUAGAUCUUCUAGAUUCCCCAUUUAUAAACCCUAAUUUGUUCUUAACUGACAAAGCUCGCUACACACUUCUUAUCCAUGAGCGAUAUACUAAGGUCAUUCCAGGACUACCAGAAGGAUGGAUGUAAAGGAGAUUGCCAGUAUCAAUAACCAAUUGGUCAUUUCUUCUUGUGCUAGGGCCGUUUCUUCAUUUUGAUCGAUAGCCAUGUAAGAGGUUAGAACCUGAUGAAUUGUGAAGUAUAAAGUCCUCAAUUGAAUCAGAGAUCGUCAAUUUCUUUGAGAUAAGUUUUAGAACUGGGCGGCAACAAUCGAAGCUAUAGAGAUUGACAAAAAUCAAGUGAGAUUUAGAACAAGAUUGUGAAACACUGAGAGGAGUCUGAGCUGAUACCCGCGCUCUGAUACCAUAACAAAACUAUACAUGCAGGCUCAGAUCUACCGAGCUGCCAUGGAGUCUUCUGGAAGGUUCUGAGAGAAGGGAAGAGGAGAGAUAGAGAAAGCAGAUAACGGAGAAAUAUUUUC
rnacentral:lncRNA from 1 species